AGCGAACGCUGGCGGCAGGCUUAACACAUGCAAGUCGAGCGGGCAUCCUUGUGGUGUCAGCGGCAGACGGGAGAGUAACGCGUGGGAACGUGCCCUUCGGUUCGGAAUAACUCAGGGAAACUUGAGCUAAUACCGGAUACGUGCGAGAGCAGAAAGGUUUAUCUGCCGAAGGAUCGGCCCGCGUCUGAUUAGCUAGUUGGUGAGGUUACGGCUCACCAAGGCGACGAUCAGUAGCUGGUCUGAGAGGAUGAUCAGCCACACUGGGACUGAGACACGGCCCAGACUCCUACGGGAGGCAGCAGUGGGGAAUAUUGGACAAUGGGGGCAACCCUGAUCCAGCCAUGCCGCGUGAGUGAUGACGGCCUUAGGGUUGUAAAGCUCUUUUCUCCGGGACGAUAAUGACGGUACCGGAGGAAUAAGCCCCGGCUAACUUCGUG
rnacentral:rRNA from 1 species